CAGAUCAAGAACAUACCUAAUUUCUGAAAUUAUGAAGAGAGGAUAACUUUGAAAAUAUUAAGAACAAAAAUAAAGUCAUUGUGUGUUGCCUUAAACAGUGCUGUAGGCCUAUUUGUAUUUUUUUUUUUAAAUAAUUUAUGAGUUGUUGUACAAACUGGCAAGAUGAUCUAUAAAUUAAGUAAAAUGUAGAUCAACCUAUAAUCUUAAUUUAUAAUAAUUUUAUUACAGAAUUCUGAGAUCUCAAUCUUAGUAGAUAGAUCUUGAACCAGUGUGUUUUGUGUAUGGCUAAAUUAUUGUAUUUUUUUUUAUGCAGACCAAGUAAAAAAAAAUAAAGUUAAAUAAGAUCUAGAUCAGAUAAUUAGAUCUAGAAGGGGAAAAACGUUAUAAAAUAGAUCUACGUCUAUUAUAGGCCUUUCCAUAGUAAACCUAGAUUAUAUUUUAUGUAUUUCUUAACAGAUACUGAUAAGUUCUAUCAAAGCUUUAAUUCCUUAAAUUUUUUAAUGCAGAUGGCAAAGAACAAUAAUACAUUUUUUUAGUCUAUAAUAAAAAAAAAACUUACCUUUUCGCCAAACUGCGCAUCUUG